GAUGAACGCUGGCGGCGUGCCUAAUACAUGCAAGUCGAGCGAACGGACGAGAAGCUUGCUUCUCUGAUGUUAGCGGCGGACGGGUGAGUAACACGUGGAUAACCUACCUAUAAGACUGGGAUAACUUCGGGAAACCGGAGCUAAUACCGGAUGAUAUUUUGAACCGCAUGGUUCAAAAGUGAAAGACGAUCUUGCUGUCACUUAUAGAUGGAUCCGCGCUGCAUUAGCUAGUUGGUAAGGUAACGGCUUACCAAGGCAACGAUGCAUAGCCGACCUGAGAGGGUGAUCGGCCACACUGGAACUGAGACACGGUCCAGACUCCUACGGGAGGCAGCAGUAGGGAAUCUUCCGCAAUGGGCGAAGGCCUGACGGAGCAACGCCGCGUGAGUGAUGAAGGUCUUCGGAUCGUAAAACUCUGUUAUUAGGGAAGAACAUAUGUGUAAGUAACUGUGCACAUCUUGACGGUACCUAAUCAGAAAGCCACGGCUAACUACGUG
rnacentral:rRNA from 1 species